GAUGAACGCUAGCGGGAGGCCUAACACAUGCAAGCCGAGCGGUAUGGAUCUUUCGGGAUCCAGAGAGCGGCGUACGGGUGCGGAACACGUGUGCAACCUGCCUUUAUCAGGGGGAUAGCCUUUCGAAAGGAAGAUUAAUACCCCAUAAUAUUUAGAAUGGCAUCAUUUUAAAUUGAAAACUCCGGUGGAUAGAGAUGGGCACGCGCAAGAUUAGAUAGUUGGUGAGGUAACGGCUCACCAAGUCUGCGAUCUUUAGGGGGCCUGAGAGGGUGAUCCCCCACACUGGUACUGAGACACGGACCAGACUCCUACGGGAGGCAGCAGUGAGGAAUAUUGGACAAUGGGUGGGAGCCUGAUCCAGCCAUCCCGCGUGAAGGAUGACGGCCCUAUGGGUUGUAAACUUCUUUUGUAUAGGGAUAAACCUACUCUCGUGAGGGU
rnacentral:rRNA from 1 species